rnacentral:rRNA from 1 species
UACAGAGGGUGCGAGCGUUAAUCGGAAUUACUGGGCGUAAAGCGUGCGUAGACGGUUAUGUAAGUCGGGUGUGAAAGCCCCGGGCUCAACCUGGGAAUUGCAUUCGAGACUGCAUAGCUAGGGUGCGGAAGAGGGAAGCGGAAUUUCCGGUGUAGCGGUGAAAUGCGUAGAUAUCGGAAGGAACAUCAGUGGCGAAAGCGACUUCCUGGACCAAUACUGACGCUCAUGUGCGAAAGCGUGGGGAGCAAACAGG